GACAUAGGUCGCGAACGUUAUCCGGAAUUAUUGGGCGUAAAGGAUGCGUAGAUGGUUCAGUAAGUUACUGGUGGGAAAUCGAGGCCUAACCUCGUGGAAGUCAGUAAUACUGUUGAACUUGAGUGCAGGAGAGGUUAACGGAACUUCAUGUGGAGCGGUAAAAUGCGUAGAUAUAUGAAAGAACAUCAAUAUAGCGAAGGCAGUUAACUAUUCUGCUACUGACAUUGAGGCAUGAAAGCGUGGGGAGCAAAACGG
rnacentral:rRNA from 1 species